rnacentral:misc_RNA from 1 species
CAAGAGUGAGGGCCCUCGCGGCCCGAACCUCCAACCCCAUGUUGUCCGACUCUGUUGCCUCGGGGGCGACCCGGCCCUUCUGGGCGACGGGGCCCCCGGUGGUCCAUCUCAACCCUGCAUCUGUGCGUCUGAGUAAAUAUUUGAAUCAAUCA